CGGUAUAGUACCAGAAAGGCCGUUGACCAAGAACCUUCUCAAAAAGGCCGCAAAAAAAGCAUAAGUGAACCAAAUAGGCGUUGUUGGGAAACCAUCAUCAACUGGAGAUAAGCCGAUUUCCACAAGAACCAGCUUUUCUGCUUUUGAAGCUGGAAUUUUUCUGGAAAUGUUGGCUGCCAAAUGUAGUUGGAGCAGUAGACGAGACUGUAAAUCUAAUUAUAAAACCAGCUGAAUCUGAAGAAGCUGAUGUGUGCAGGAAAGGGUUUAUUAACAUUACUGAGCAGCUGUCAUUGAUGCCAACAUGAGAUGCCUGCAUCGCACUGGUGGAUGCCUGCCUUUUCAAGCCAAAUGAGUGCUGUGAAACAGCAAAAAUUUGCAUGCGCCUGCACAAACUGUGCUUGGAAUUAUUCAUUCCGCUGAUAGAGGUAGAAGUUUUGGACAUGAUGGAUCCUGCGGUUACAAAUAACGCACUAGUAAAGAGAGCAGCAGUCAAUAAGAGGCAGCAGCUGAUUGAAAAUGUCGUAAAGUGAUACUUAUAUAUAGGACCUG